rnacentral:rRNA from 1 species
CCCUUAGACGUUCUGGGCCGCACGCGCGCUACACUGACGAAGGCAACGAGCUUUCCUUUACCGAAAGGUACGGGUAAUCUUUUGAAACUUCGUCGUGCUGGGGAUAGAUCCUUGCAAUUAUCGAUCUUAAACGAGGAAUUCCUAGUAAGCGCAAGUCAUCAACUUGCGUUGAUUACGUCCCUGCCCUUUGUACACACCGCCCGUCGCUACUACCGAUUGAAUGGUUUAGUGAGGCCUUCGGAUCCGCGACUCGUUUUGUGGAGAAGUUGGACAAACUCAGUCAUUUAGAGGAAGUAAAAGUCGUAACA